GACGAACCGAGCGAACGUUGUUCGGAAUCACUGGGCUUAAAGGGCGCGUAGGCGGGCCAGCAAGUCUAGGGUGAAAUCCUCCGGCUUAACCGGAGAACAGCCUUGGAUACUGCUGGUCUCGAGGGAGGUAGGGGUGCUGGCGGAAACUUCGUGGUGGAGCGGUGAAAUGCGUUGAUAGUCAGAGGAACGCCGGUGGCGAAAGCGGCGGACUGGACCUCACUGACGGCUGGAGGCGCGAAAGCUAGGGAGCAAACGGG
rnacentral:rRNA from 1 species